AUGUUGUCAUCAGAACUUCCAAAAUUAAAGGUUUACCACAUAUUAACCACAAAGGGAGACGAGUACCAGGACGACAAACAGGAGCAAGUUGCCGAUGCCCCCAAAAAUGUUGCCCCCCAACACGGAGAAAUUUAACGUUG